rnacentral:ncRNA from 2 species
ACCUUAUCAAGAGAGGCGGAGGGAAUGGGCCCUAUGAAACCCGGCAACCGGCAGAAUUGUAUCGGUGCCAAUUCCUACAGGAUGUAAAAGUCCUGACAGAUGAGGA